GACGAACGCUGGCGGCGUGCUUAACACAUGCAAGUCGAACGGAAAGGCUCUGGUUUUCUGGGGUACUCGAGUGGCGAACGGGUGAGUAACACGUGAGUAAUCUGCCCUGGACUCUGGGAUAACUAUAGGAAACUGGGGCUAAUACCGGAUAGGAGCUUUUGCCUCAUGGUGGGGGGUGGAAAGUUUGGGCGGUUAGGGAUGGGCUCGGGGCUUAUCAGCUUGUUGGUGGGGUAAUGGCUUACCAAGGCUGUGACGGGUAGCCGGCCUGGGAGGGUGACCGGCCACAUUGGGACUGAGAUACGGCCCAGACUCCUACGGGAGGCAGCAGUGGGGAAUAUUGCACAAUGGGCGGAAGCCUGAUGCAGCAACGCCGCGUGCGGGAUGACGGCCUUCGGGUUGUAAACCGCUUUCACCUGUGACGAAGCGUGAGUGACGGUACCGGGUGAAGAAGCACCGGCUAACUACGUG
rnacentral:rRNA from 1 species